rnacentral:rRNA from 1 species
AGAGUUUGAUCCUGGCUCAGGAUGAACGCUAGCUACAGGCUUAACACAUGCAAGUCGAGGGGCAGCAUGGUCUUAGCUUGCUAAGGCCGAUGGCGACCGGCGCACGGGUGAGUAACGCGUAUCCAACCUGCCUUACACUCUUGGACAGCCUUCUGAAAGGGAGAUUAAUACAAGAUGUUAUCAUGAGUAAGCAUUUUCGCAUGAUUAAAGGUUACCGGUGUAAGAUGGGGAUGCGUUCCAUUAGAUAGUAGGCGGGGUAACGGCCAUCUAGUCUUCGAUGGAUAGGGGUUCUGAGAGGACGGUCCCCCACAUUGGAACUGAGACGACGGUACCAAACUCCGUACGGGAGGCA